rnacentral:misc_RNA from 1 species
GACGUAGGGCGCGAGCGUUGUCCGGAUUUAUUGGGCGUAAAGAGCUCGUAGGCGGCUUGUCGCGUCGAUCGUGAAAACUUGGGGCUCAACCCUAAGCCUGCGGUCGAUACGGGCAGGCUCGAGUUCGGUAGGGGAGACUGGAAUUCCUGGUGUAGCGGUGAAAUGCGCAGAUAUCAGGAGGAACACCGAUGGCGAAGGCAGGUCUCUGGGCCGAUACUGACGCUGAGGAGCGAAAGCGUGGGGAGCGAACAGG